rnacentral:rRNA from 1 species
UACGGAGGGGGCUAGCGUUGUUCGGAAUUACUGGGCGUAAAGCGCACGUGGGCGGCUUUGUAAGUUAGAGGUGAAAGCCCAGGGCUUAACCCUGGAAUUGCCUUUAAGACUGCAUCGCUAGAAUCGUGGAGAGGUGAGUGGAAUUCCGAGUGUAGAGGUGAAAUUCGUAGAUAUUCGGAAGAACACCAGUGGCGAAGGCGACUCACUGGACACGUAUUGACGCUGAGACGCGAAAGCGUGGGGAGCGAACAGG